UGUUGUAAAAAGAGUUGAAAUGUUAUUUUUAUUUUGGAUUAUUAUUUAUUUAUAAAAUAUAAUUUAUUAUCGUUCUGGAAAUUCAAUGACUGAAUCAUUAGCAGAUGCAGCAAGAUAGGUCUCUUCUUCUUGGUAGAGAUAAAGCUGAGGUGAAGGACAAGCAGUACCACUCGUAAGCUACUAAGGAUUCUUUCCAUUUUAUUCUGAUUCUUUCAUUGGUAGGUGGUGAAUAUGUAGCACUCAAUAGCUGUUAAGUAGUGUUACCAGCAGUUACCAGCCCCAUACACGUAUAUACACGUUCAUAUUACUAGUUGUAACAGCGUUACAGUUCAGUUGGAUAGCAAAAUACGAUUUUAAAGAAUUAAGGUUACACACCACGUGGCAAUUGACUUCAUCCCUGAACUAACUUUUUUAAAACGUUAAUUACACAACAGCUUUAUUAGACAUUUCUAUAUAUUAACGAGUUGUUGAGGUUGAAUACUAUUUUAUUCACGUGAAUCGGAAAAAAGUUAAUCGAAAAUAAAAUAUGAAGACUAAUCCAAGUAAGAUGGAUAUGGAGACUGCAGAUUUAAGUCCUACCGAAUGGCUUGAGGAAUUCAUUAAAAUUUCGAAAGAAGAACUUGAGUUAUCAAAAAAAUCCUCAGAUGAUAGACUAAUAAUGGUAUCUCAUUAUGGGCCUGUUGUAUAUAAUAAUGAUAGUUAUUAUGAUGAUGAUGAUGAU